CCUGCUUCCUUGUACUCCUCGUUCAUAAUUGACCAAAAAUCGCCCUUAUUAGUUUACCAAUUAAAAACGACUACUAAUUAGUAGUUGAACUUUCCCCUGUUUCAUCGACUUUUCUGCUUCCAAAUCUUGAAUCCCCGACAUAAAUGCCACAAACCAAGAAAAUCCCAGGAAAAUAUUAGUAGUACCAGUAUCUAAAAUCUAAAAAGCUUCUGAAUCUUUCCUUUUUAGGAGGACGUUUAGAGUAAUUUUCAUUUUUUUAACUUGUGACCAGGAGCAUUUAUGGCGUUUAGACAGUCGUCGUUUUCUCCACCCCUACUAAAAUUCUUCGAAACUGACUGAUCUGAGUGUUUUUCUAUUCCAUCUAGUGGUGAAACGAGUCGGGUAACAGAUUUAAUUUGGAAUAUGAAUGUGGAGAAGUCUCAGGUUUGGCAGCCUUGCAAGAAGAAGAGGGAUUUAGAAAUUUGAUAAUUAAAUCAAUAUAUUUUGUACUGCAUAGGGGAAAAUCGAUAAUUUCAGAGAGAGCCCACAAAGGAAAAGCUGUAAAAUGGAUGGGAUUUGUACAAGAAGGGGACGUUGAUCGCUCUUGGGGCGGCUGAGGCUCAGGCAGAAAUAUUUUUGGUUAAAAGAGAAAUAGAGAUUCAUUUGUUAAAAAAAAAGGUGGGAUUUGCGAAUAUGAAGAUGGCAUCAUCAAGAUCAAGCGGAGGUAGCGGUGGGUUCGGUGCUUCGAAGACAAGAGUAGGAAGGUACGAGCUGGGAAAAACAUUAGGGGAGGGGACUUUUGCUAAGGUGAAGUUUGCAAGAAAUAUAGAGACGGGUGAGAAUGUGGCCAUCAAGAUUCUCGACAAAGAGAAGAUUCUCAAACACAAAAUGAUCGGUCAGAUUAAACGUGAAAUAUCAACUAUGAAGUUAAUCAGGCAUCCAAAUGUCAUCCGCAUGUUUGAGGUCAUGGCGAGCAAGACCAAGAUAUAUAUUGUGCUUGAAUUUGUCACAGGUGGUGAACUCUUUGACAAAAUUGCUACUAAAGGUAGGCUUAAAGAAGAUGAAGCAAGAAAGUAUUUUCAGCAGCUAAUUAAUGCUGUAGAUUAUUGUCACAGCAGAGGUGUAUGUCAUAGGGACCUCAAGCCAGAAAACUUGUUGCUGGAUGCAAAUGGAGUUCUUAAAGUCUCAGAUUUUGGAUUAAGUGCACUGCCUCAGCAAGUUCGAGAAGAUGGUUUACUACAUACAACAUGUGGAACACCAAAUUAUGUUGCUCCCGAGGUGAUCAACAAUAAAGGUUAUGAUGGUGCUAAAGCAGAUUUGUGGUCUUGUGGCGUAAUUCUUUUUGUCCUUAUGGCUGGCUACCUGCCUUUUGAAGAAUCAAAUCUCUUGUCAUUGUAUAAAAAGAUCUUUAAGGCUGAAUUCACAUGUCCUCCAUGGUUCUCUUCGAGUGCGAAAAGGCUGGUCAAGAGAAUUCUGGACCCUAAUCCCCAAACGCGUAUUACAAUUGCUGAGCUCAUUGAGAACGAUUGGUUCAAGAAAGGAUAUCAACCACCUGUUUUUGAACAAGAGGAAGUUAGUCUCGAUGAUGUGGAUUCUGUUUUUGAUGAAUCUGCAGAGUCCCAAAACCUUGUUGUGGAGAGACGGGAAGAACAUCCAACUACUCCAUUAACUAUGAAUGCCUUUGAGCUUAUCUCAACAUCUCAGGGUCUCAACCUUAGUUCUCUUUUUGAAAAACAUAUGGGGUUUGUUAAACGGGAAACGAGAUUCACAUCUAAGCGUCCUGCUAAUGAAAUAAUUUCAAAAAUUGAGGAAGCUGCUGUUCCUCUGGGAUUUGGAGUGAAGAAAAAUAACUACAAGAUGAAGCUCCAAGCAGAGAAGACAGGACGCAAGGGCCAUUUAUCUGUUGCGACAGAGAUAUAUGAGGCCAUUUAUCUGUUGCAACAGAGAUAUAUGAGGUGGCUCCUUCACUCUUCAUGGUUGAGCUUCGCAAGGCUGGAGGAGAUACUUUGGAAUUUCACAAGUUCUACAAGAACCUUUCAACUGGGUUGAAGGAUAUAGUGUGGAAAACCGGGGAUGAAGCAAAGGAGGAACUGAAUGAUGAGCCUAGAAAUAAUUGAAAUUUCUGUCUCGUUAAUGACUAAUUCCUUUUGGCUGCUGGCUUCUCUGUCUUAUGGAUGUUAGCCAUAAAUAUUCCACUUGGUUCAUGUAUAUGAUGUGCAUGGAAGUCGGUUCUAUUCUUCUUACUUCAAAACUAUUGCCUUUGUUUUACGGUCUUCAAAUUGUCUUCCAUAACAGAGACAUGUAUAAGUUACUAAUUUGACGUCUUCAGUUAUUCAGGAAGAAAACAUACUUUUGCAUCCAUUAACCAGCAUCAUUUUUGCUCAUGUAGCUUGUUCUUUAAU